GCCCUGAGCAGGCAGGAGCUGCUCCAUUUAUGUGGGGUGCACCUGCUGUGGACAGAGGAGCCACAGAUGACCUUUGUGAAGGAGGCUCAAUAAGGAGUUCUGAGGUGGAG